ensembl:lncRNA
UGAAGAUUAAUAGGGAAGAUGCUUACAGCUCUCACAACAGCUGCUGGAAAGUGUUCCUAUCUCAGGUUUUAAUUACACGUAUUUAUACAGUAAAAAAUUCCUAAAUGCAGCAUAGCCUGUAGUAUGCAACAAUUUUGAGCAUUUAUGAGAUUCAGGCAAUUAAGAGUCUAAACUUUCAAAUGUUUCCAGAUGGCACACUGAUUAACAAUUGUGCGAAUUUAAUAUUUGUUUAAAUGCACUACUCUGUGAAACACUUCUUAAUAGUAGAUGAACGCGUUGGAAUGAAUCUAGGAACAACUUUUCUUCAAGCACAACUUGCCUCCUUGCCUGAAGAAGUGGAAAUCUUAUUAGCUGAUUAUAUAGACCAAAAGCAGCAGCAGAGAAGUGGUAAGAGAUGAAAAAGACAAAAUAGAAGCCAAGCUAUUUUUUCACUAAUGAACAUUUCUUCUUUCUCUUUAGACACAGGUCCCAUGGUAUUCAUGCAAGCCACUUACAACAUCAGUCUCCCUGCUCUUGCAAGUGAACCUACUUGUAAGGACAUUUCCUUGGGGCUAAUGGCUUUAUGAAUGUUGACAUCUGUUGCAUGCAGUAAAUUGAAGCUAUUUUCUUCCCUGGUGUAGCACAGCCACUACAGAAACACUGGAAAUCAGGAUGACAUUCAGCUUUCUUGCCAGUCAGUUGAAUGAAGGAACUAAAAGUAUUUUCCAGCAAGACCACUUCUGGUGCAUCAGUUCCAAGUUCUUCUGGCAGGAAAGAUCUUCCUGUGGUCACACAGCAUCUGACAUCUUCCCCAUCAUGUGCCCCAUGUUACAAAGCCCACUGCAUUGAAGAUGAAACCACAGGGAUUAGUCCUGAUUGUACAAUGCCAUGUGAACACGAAGGAUGUUUAUAGUUUAAAAAAUAUUUCCUCUUUCUCCCGGGCUACAUUUUUCAGACCAAUCCUGACCUGUUUUGUAAAAGAAGAUAUAUUCAGUAAGACCACAGACCAUCCACAGAGCUUUUUGGUCUCCAACAAUCUCCAGUUAAUGACUGUCUGUUGGGAAAAAGCAUAAAAAGGAAAAUGUACACUGAUGUUCCCACAUUUUAGCUUUCCAGCUUCCUACAAUCUGUGGCUAUGCAGUUUCCUGACCUGGGGGUUAUUUCUUUGUCUAUCACUCUGUGGUGGAUUUUCCUUCCAUGUUUUUAUCUAAUUGCUUUUUGAACCCGUGAAAACUUAUGACACUCACAACAUCCCAUGGCAAUGAGUUUCAUAGUUUAAUUACGUGCUUCAUGAAAAAGUGUUUUCCUUUAAUCAUUUUGAACCCACCUUCAUUUGAUACCUCCAAGAUUUUGUAUUACAAGAAAUUGCUCUUUCUUCACUCUUUCCAUGUUUGUCAUGAUUUCAUUGGCAUCUGUCACAUCCUUGAAAAAUUACUUUCCUUGCUGAAGAGACUCAUUUUAGUUUAUCUCCCUUAACAUGGAACCUCUUUCAUAUCUUUAAGUAUCUUGGCUAUUUCUUUCUUUAUUUUAUAUUUUUUUUACCCUGUUUAUAUAGAAAGACAUCUCAUACAGUAAUUUGUACCUCCCUAAGCAUCUUUUUAUCAUUCAAGUACAGGAGAACUUUAUACCCACUUUUGACUGCAAAGAUGUGAAUCUGCAGAGAGUUUGGUUCUCCACAUUCAAUAAAUAUUAAGCAGUUUCUAUUUAUCAUGGAAAAAAUUCUAUUCUGGCUUGUGAUGUGGGUUCCAUAUUAAAAAAAAAAAGUAUUUAUUUAAUAUUUGUUUUGAUUAUUCCAUCUGAUGUUCUCCAAUCUGGUGGAGAGAAAACAAUAUGUUCUGUUAAUGACUAUGUUUUUAAUGUCUGAUGAAUUUUCUUCUGUGAGAGAAGGACACAGCUCUUUCAAACUCAGC